CUUGGCCAUUACAGGCACGUUGCCCUUCUCCCCACUUAGCAAAUUGUUAUGGGGACCUACUGGGAACCACUAGCUGUACCUCUUCCCUGCUUUCAGAGAUUUCAGCAGAAGUUUUAGAGAGAAGUCACAGCUAAUUCCUAUGCUUCAACUCAUCCACCCUGAAGGAAAAUGUGACACCCAAGGAGGGAUACAGUAUCUCAUUCAUUUAACAGAUUAAGAAACUUGAUCUGUGAAAUGACCAACCACCACUACAGAGGACUGAUGAGCAAGCCACCCACCUCCUGACAGAGAGAUCUUCAAGCUGCUUCAGGUGCUCCUUCCAGCUUCAAGAGAGAAGAUGAAGGAAAAGACUCAGGGAAGAAGUCAACAUGAGAGGAGCUGGUAGUCUCCAUCACAUCACUGUGCCCAGCUCACUGCACUAGAGACAGCAGAGAGUUUGCCUAGGUGAGAUCCAGGGCUCUUUCUCUCCUGGCUGAGCUGAUUUACCUCACUACCAAUGGGAGAGAUGCUUUACUUUGUAUUGUCCUCUAUAUAUUCUCCUAUGUAUACAUUCUCUGAUUUCUGUUCUACUACAACUUGGAUAAAUGGGUUCCUUUGCUAUUCACUAUGUGUGUUCACUGUGAAACCAGUAUUUGGUAGAAAGGGAGUCAAACCUUGGAGAUAAAGCCUGGGAUCCCCCUCUCCCCAAAUAAUAAUUGAAAGCAAUUAGAAGAUAGAUUGAAUUUGAUCAUAUCCCCUAGACUUAAAAUAUGGGUGCCUAGGUGGUACACUGGAUAGAGUGCCAGGCCUAAAGUCAGGAAGAC